GGCAUUUCAUCCAGCACUGCCCAACAAAUGGUGACCCAAAUUAUGACAUUAAGAAAGUGAAACCUCCAACUGGCAUUCCAAAGUCCAUGUUGAUGGCAACCCCAGAUGGUUCAUAUGCUUUACCAAGUGGUGCUGUUGCAGUUUUAAAGCCCAAUGAGUAAGAUUUCCUGUCAUAGGUAUUGUUGAAUGCUUGCUUGUAACAAGAAUGUGUAUGACUAGCCACUUGUUGUAGGGCUGCUUUUGAUAGAGAAGUUGAAGGGAUGCCUUCUAUACGCUCCGUUGGUGAUCUUCCACCAGAACUUCAUUGUCCCUUGUGUAAAGAAGUAAUGAAAGAUGCGGUGCUAACAAGCAAGUGUUGUUUUACGAGUUUCUGCGAUAAAUGUAAGGAGCUUGCUGUUUAAUUGGAUCAUAGUGUUGUUUAAAGAGUUUUUGCUAAAAAUGUCAGUAGCUUGGUGUGUAAUAUGAAGCUAGUUUUGUUGCUGCUACGAUGAAUUUAAGGAGUUGUUUGUUCAAUUUUAAUGUGUCCUAUAUUCUUGAAUUUUGAAUUGAUCUCAAGGGUUAUCCGCAGGCAUAAGGGAUUAUAUCAUCUCAAAGUUGAUGUGCAUCUGUGGGGCCACAAGUAUACUUGCUGAUGACCUGUUGCCUAACAAGACUUUGAGGGAUACAAUAAAUAGAAUACUGGAAUCAAAUAAUAGCAGUGCAGAGCAUGGGGGUAGUGCUCUUCAAGUUCAAGGUUGGUACUGGUUUUAACUCUCUGAACCGUUCUCUUGCUCAAGUCCAUUAUCAUUUUGAUUUUCAAUGGCUUACAUCUUGUCUUUGUUAUCACAUGUUCCAGAUAUGGAGUCAGCACGCAAUCUCCCACCUAAGAUUCCAUCUCCUUCACAAUCUGCAGCUUCAAGGGGAGAGCUGUUGCCACCACCUUCUCAUAAGGAGGAAACUUCUAAAGUCCAGGAGACUGCUGAGGAGGGUAAGAAUGGCAGUGCACCACAGCAAAUGGUGGAGAGAGGCAGGACUUCGAAGGUUGCAGAUAUUUCUGAAGCCACACAUGAGUCAGUUAGUGUUAAAGAACCUGCAUCCCAGGGAAGUGCUCCAUUGGCUGAUGAAGAAGUUCAACAAAAGCAUGUAGCUGCGGAGGCAGGUAAUGAUGCUCUUUUGUUCACUUUUUUGGCCUCGUAAGUCAUUGGUUGUAUCUUACCGAGCAGCCUAGAGGAGAUUCUUGGUUUCAUAUAUUCCUUGGAUGAGUUCUCAUCAAUUUCUAUUUUUUUUUUCAGCAAAGAAAAAGAAGAAGAAGAAAGCACGCCUGCCAUUGAACCGUAUGCACAUUUCCCUUCCUGUUGUGCACGGAUCGAUAUAUCUGUUAGUUCUUUUUGGAAUAGAGCUUCGAUUAUUAUGUCUGCAAUCUUGAUGGAUCUGUUCCCUGAUUUACUUGAUGCCCUUGCAGCUGCUGUUGCGGAGAUGCAGUGGAGAGCUGCUCAAGAUCAUCUCGCUGCUGAGAAUUACAUGAUGUCCAUGGGUCCUUCUGCGUAUAAUAAUCCUUAUUGGACAGGCAUGCAACCUGGACUAGAUGGGUUUGCAGCCCCUUAUCAUGGUGCCAUGCCGUACAAUCCUUAUGGGUUUGGCCCUCUAGAUGUUCCAUUUGUCCCUCCUGUCUUACCACAAGAUCCAUUUGGUGGACAAGGUUUUAUGUUGCCUUUCGGUCCUCCAAUGCAGAGGUACAACUUGUGUUGCCUUUUAUCCUGAAUUUCUAUCCUAAUCUCUGAUCAAGUGUUUACACAUGUUCCUAACCCCUUCUCACAGUUUUUGGUAAUGGAUAUUCAGUCUGGUUCUGAUGUUGUAGUUUAAUUACUUUCAUGUUCAUGUAUCUAUAUGUGUCGGCUCCUAUGAGAUUUGGAUUACCUGACUGGUUUAAAAAUGACCACCAAAUUUUAGGGAUCUUGCAGCAGAGUUUGGGAUGGGAUUUAAUGCUGGCCCACCAAUCAUGAGCAGAGAAGAGUUCGAGGCUAGAAAGGCUGAUCUGAAAAGGAAGCGUGAGAUCGAGAGACGGGGAGAGAGGUAAUUUAACCUACCUGGUUUUCUGUUCCUGUUAAUUCACAGCACAAUAUGGUGCUAUUUCCGUUGGUGAUGUUAAAAUCACAUCAAAUGAUCUGAGCACUGCGUAUUGAGGUUUUCCAAAGAAUGUUCAUGCCUUAAUUUCAUGGCAUCCCAUUAUGGAGCUAUUUUGGUGUGUGAUAUCAAAAUUUUCUUAAAUGCUGAGUUUUGAAUAUUGAGGUUUUUGCAGUAUGUGUGCGCUUUAAGUAUCUCUGUCCAACUUAAUUUUCUCUACUUGAAGGCAUGCUGAAAUCAGGCACAAUCUAAUUAUAUCCUCAUAUUUUGUCCUCUUUGGUUUGUUUUUAUUGUCAAGAGUCAUUAUCUAUUAUGCUUCUACUUUUUGACGCACUUUCAAUGAAUUUAGCAAUAUCUUGUGUUAUAUCCAGCAGGGAGUUCUCUAAAGACAGGGAACAUGCAAGGGAAGUUGGCAGCGGUGCUGAUGGUCCUUCCGUGAAAUCCAAAUCUGUAUGUAUCUUGCUUGCCAAAUAUUCCAGUCUAUUUUAUCCCUAUAUUUUAGUAGAUGGGUUUGCGUUAAGAGAAAAUUUGGCUAACAACCUGUUUAUCCAAGAAGCAGCUAAGAGUUUAUUUCCAGUUUCAUCUUUCAAUUACCAGGGACAGUCAAAAAAGAAGCAAUCUCCCCCCCCCCCCCAAAAAAAAAACCCCACCCACCCAAAAAAAAAAAAAGCAGUCUCAGAGAUUGAAUUUCUAGCAUCUCUUUUCUAAUAGUAUUAAGUACAGGACACACACUCUGGACUACCUUAAUAUGGGGUUCUGGAGAAUUAAGAUUAUAGUUUGCCCAUUGUGCUGGAAGGGAAUAUACGAUUUCCUAACCCUAGUUGGUGCUCCUUUUGAAUGAUGAUGAUGCCUGAUGGCGAAAAAUAUCGUCACAGUUUCUGGUUGCCCUCAGUAAAAUGGGCAGUUGACUGGAGCUCAAUCAGGAUGGUGCACAUUAACAUGUUGAUUUACAUUUCUUUUGCUAGUUAUUAGUCUGUUCCGGUUCCUGUAUGUUGGAUGUGGUGGACAAUGGCCAUUAAGUGAUUUUGUUCCCUCAUUUUCUUUUCUGUUUUUUCUAAAAUUUCAAACCUUUUCCCAAUGGCACUAGGCCUGGAGUUCUACUCUUUUUGUGGCGAAACUGUUUGCCUAAUUUGGCCAAAAACUUUAAAGUGAGUAAGCUAUUAAGAACAUGGAAAAAUGAUGAAGUGGAUAGGACUCCAAAAGUGUUCUAGACUAUUCUGUUGUAGAAUCAUUGAAGUGUAGUGGGGGAUGGGAUGAGCUAAAUCAUUUUCCCCGGAAUGUACUAAGGUGUAUUAGUCUAUCGGAAACAGCCUCUCUGCCCUAUCGGGGUAGGGGUAAGGUUUGCGUACACACUACCCUCCCCAGACCCCACUUAGUGGGACUUUACUAGGUCGUUGUUGUUGUUGUACUAAGGUGUAUUAAUUUUGAGUAUUUGCUAUGCCAGUAGGGGAAAAAGAGUAUUAUAAAGAGGUGUAAAAUCCUCUUCUUUUGUAGUGCAUGAUGUUUUUUACGGCUUUAGAUCUGCAUUUUGAUAUUUUAGAACAUUUUUUCUUUUUUGCAAUUUUUUGAUAUUAAUAUAUUCAUUGAUGAUUGCACAGAAAGCUAUUCCUCCUCAAUUGAGCUCCGGCCGUCCCCGCCGACCAGAGAGGCCAUCACCGGACCUUGAUCACCACCGCCAACUUGAGAGGCCAUCACCGGACCUUGACCACCACCGCCGACCUGAGAGGCAUUCGCCGGAGCUUGACCACCGCCGCCGACCUGAGAGGCCAUCACCUGACCUUGACUAUCACCGUCGGCCUGAGAGGCCAUCUCCAGACCGUCGAUCGCGAGAUCCUGAACUUCCUCGCCCUUCGUCCAAGAGAAAGUAUGAAGAUUAUGAUGAUCACCAUCAUGAGGACCGCCAUCGCCGUGACCACCAUGAGGACCGCCACCACCGUGAGCAUGCCCAUCGCAGUAGCAGUAGCCACCACCGUUCAAAAUCUUCAGCUAGUGUCAAACCAUCCUCCACUGGCCCAUCCGAGCCACCAGUGGUAGCGCCACUCAAAUCCAUGGAUAAGAAGAAGGUCAGUGUUUUUUCUCGCAUCAGUUUCCCAGCUGAAGAUGCACCAGCAGCUUCAAAGAAGCGAAAGGUGCCAUCCUCCAGUGAAGUGCCAGUGAGUUCCUCGGCGAGCCACCGGGGUACUACAUCAAAUGGGUAUCACGAAGAGUACAAAGCAGCUACUGGAUCAAGGAAGAGUGCUGCUGCAAGUGUGGAUUAUGAGAGCAGCGAUGAUGAUCGGCACUUCAAAAGAAGGCCUUCAAGGUACGAGCCAUCUCCACCACCGGCUUCUGAGUGGGAGGAAGAGAAGCAGGAGGGACCUCUUCCUAGGCAUAGCAAGGGGUCAAGGGAAAGAGGGUAAACUGGAUAGUAGUUUAUUGCAUUUUGCACUUCUCUGAUAUGUCAAUUCUUUGCAUUUUUCACAUAUCUUAUAUGUCAAUUAGCCAGUUUCUUGAGUUCUUUCCAGUAUCUGAUAUGCAAUAUUUAGAAUCUAAUAUAGGUGGCAACAUUACAUUGCUUGCUUUUUUUGUUUCUCAUUCUUUUGCCAUGGCCUGUAAUGGAGUUGAUUGUUCAUUUGUGCAUUAUGUGUUACUGUCUUACUUGACUCAAAGAUGUGUUAUUUACUGUCUGCGGCUUUACUUUUCACGGUUCGUUUAUCUAGAACAGAUGGUUUAACUAUUUAGAUAAACUCAAAGAGAAUAAAAGCAAAAUCAUUUAGUUGUGCAAAAUGUGGAGAUAAAUAGUGUACAUGAUGAUGACAUGUUUUUCCUUACUAAUUUCAUUUGGAAUUCACAUGAUGCUAUAUAUCACACACACAUGUAGAGAAUCCUCCUUUUCUUUUACUUGGUGUGGCACUAUAAAACAGAUAAUUCCAUAUCAGUGUUUGCUCGCUAGCUCAUGAUUAGAUAUUGUCACUUAGUGAGACAUUAUGGCACUAUCAGGAAAGACAAAUUGAUUUUUCAAUGUUCAUGUACACAAGAUAGAUCUCUCUUUCAUGGUGUAUUUGUGAGCAGCGAUGCAAAUCACUUGUCUGACAGGUGGGGCAUGAGUGAAGCAGAAUAUGUGCCCUUCUUUUAGCUUCUUCUGGUGGGUGUGUUGGUGAUGUUUUAUGGAUAGUUACUGAGAAUCUUGUUUGUCAUAUGGAUACAAAAAGAAUUUUGUUAGUUGUGAGCACUGGAAACCUCACCUCUUUCGUUGGCACCACACCCUCCCCCUUUCUUAUGAUGUUAAUAGAAAAUUGGUUGUUUUAGCUGGCAGCAAUGGUGACCUUCAAAAGAAUUCACUUGCAUCCUUUCUAGUUUCAGCUGUCGGCCAGUCCCAACAUUCUUACAAAAGUGUCCUGAGAAUGCCACUUAGAAAAUUGAUGCAAACUUUCUCAUAUUGUAUCCUGCAUUUAGAAAUCAAUGUUGAUGCUCGGCUUUUAUUCUUUUGUUCUGUUUUUUUCAAAUCUUCCUAUGGCUUUUUCAUUUGAACUGCCUAUGGACUUCCUUUUUGGUGCUUCAAUGUAGCCUCGUCAUUGAGUAUAUAUAUCUUUUUGCCAUUCCUGUGUUACCAUCACAAUGAUCUCAUGGAUCC
rnacentral:lncRNA from 1 species